GACGAACGCUGGCGGCGUGCUUAACACAUGCAAGUCGAACGGAAAGGCCCCGCUUUUGUGGGGUGCUCGAGUGGCGAACGGGUGAGUAACACGUGAGUAACCUGCCCUUGACUUUGGGAUAACUUCAGGAAACUGGGGCUAAUACCGGAUAGGAGCUCCUGCUGCAUGGUGGGGGUUGGAAAGUUUCGGCGGUUGGGGAUGGGCUCGCGGCUUAUCAGCUUGUUGGUGGGGUAGUGGCUUACCAAGGCUUUGACGGGUAGCCGGCCUGAGAGGGUGACCGGCCACAUUGGGACUGAGAUACGGCCCAGACUCCUACGGGAGGCAGCAGUGGGGAAUAUUGCACAAUGGGCGGAAGCCUGAUGCAGCAACGCCGCGUGCGGGAUGACGGCCUUCGGGUUGUAAACCGCUUUCGCCUGUGACGAAGCGUGAGUGACGGUAAUGGGUAAAGAAGCACCGGCUAACUACGUG
rnacentral:rRNA from 1 species